AUUGAACGCUGGCGGCAGGCCUAACACAUGCAAGUCGAACGGCUGAAGGGUGAUUGCUCCUUGAUUCAGCUGCGGACGGGCGAGUAAUGCCUAGAAACAUGCGUAGUAAUUUUUUCUUAGGUCCGAACGCGGGCAAACAUACCGCAAACGUCCUGAGGGAGUAAGGGUGGGAUCUUGGGACCUCCCGCUAUCAGAUGAGCCUAGGUCGGAUUAGCUAGUUGGUGGGGUAAAGGCCUACCAAGGCGACGAUCCGUAGCUGGUCUGAGAGGAUGAUCAGCCACACUGGAACUGAGACACGGUCCAGACUCCUACGGGAGGCAGCAGUGGGGAAUAUUGGACAAUGGGCGCAAGCCUGAUCCAGCCAUGCCGCGUGGGUGAAGAAGGCCUUCGGGUUGUAAAGCCCUUUUGUUGGGAAAGAAGAGCAGUAAGUUAAUACCUCGCUGUUCUGACGGUACCCAAAGAAUAAGCACCGGCUAACUUCGUG
rnacentral:rRNA from 1 species